rnacentral:rRNA from 1 species
CCCUUAGAUGUUCUGGGCCGCACGCGUGCUACACUGAAGCUAUCAACACGUUUUCCCUCCCUGAGAAGGGCGGGUAACCUUUUGAAUCAGCUUCGUGGUAGGGAUCGGGGCUUGCAAUUGUUCCCCGUGAACCAGGAAUUCCUAGUAGACGCGAGUCAUAAGCUCGCAUCGAUUAAGUCCCUGCCCUUUGUACACACCGCCCGUCGCUACUACCGAUUGAACGUUUUAGUGAGUCAUUUGGACCGACGCAUCUCAGUUUAACCGCUGGUUUGUGUUGGAAAGACUUCCAAACUUGAGCGUUUAGAGGAAGUAAAAGUCGUAACA